AUGCCGCAGCGGCACUCGAAGAACAACAACGACCUCGCCUUCUUCACCUACGAGGAGAAGCGGAAGCUCGGGUACGGCACCCAGCGGGAGCGGCUCGGCAAGGACUCCAUCAAGCCCUUCGAUGCCUGCUGCCUCUGCCUCAAGCCGCUCAUCGACCCGCUCGCCUGCCCCAAGGGCCACACCUUCUGCAAGGAGUGCAUCCUCGAGUGCCUCCUCGCGCAGAAGAAGGACAUCAAGCGCAAGCUUAUAGCUCAUGACUCCCAGAAAAAGCAAGAGAAGGAAGAGGAGGAGGAGAAGCUGGUGCUGCAAAAGUCCAAGGAAUUGGAUGCUUUUGAUCAGCAGAAUCAUGGAGCAGUCCCCCAGUACUAUGAUCGCAGCGGUUCCCAAGACAAGAAUGGUUUUCAUGGAGCCAACAGUGUGAAGACUACCUCCUUCGAAGAGGAAGCCCUACGCACCAUGAAGGCGUUCUGGCUUCCGUCAGCUACACCCGAAGCUACUGUCAAGGUAGAUGCUCCUUCUACUGACACAAUCUGUCCCGAGGGGCAGGAGAAGCUCAAGCUGAAAUCACUCUUCCCUAUUUCUUUCACCGAGGAGAACGCUCGUCAGAAGAGCAAUAAGUCAGUGGAGAAAAGCUACAUCUGCCCCAGCUGCAAGUCCAAUCUCACAAACACAAUGUCCCUGGUGGCGAUCAGCACCUGUGGCCAUGUCUUCUGCAAGAAGUGCUCGGACAAGUUCAUAGCAACAGAUAAGGUCUGCUUAAUGUGCAGCAAACCGUGCAAAGAGAGGAAUUUGAUUAAUUUAGAGAAAGGAGGAACGGGUUUCGCUGCACACGAUGACCACCUAGAGGCAAAGAACUUCAAGCAUUUAGGGAGUGGUUCUGGACUAGGAUUGGUGAAGCCUGCUCCUAAGGCAUAG
rnacentral:rRNA from 1 species